rnacentral:pre_miRNA from 1 species
GAUUUCAACUGAAAAAGUCAUCAACAAUAAAGUUGUAUAACUCAUCAAGAUCUAUAACUUUUAUUUUGAUCAUUUUUUCAUCCGAUGAAGUAAUAGUAACAUUUUUCACAAAAUUUACAUCUCUCAUAUGGUUUUAUAAAUUAUAAGAGAGAUAUACAAAUUUUAUGAACAAUUUUACUAUAACUUUAUCGGAUGAAAAAAUGAUCAAAAUAAAAAUUGUAUGUCUUGAUGUGUUCUACAAUUUUUAUGUUCAUGACUUUUUCAGCUGAAAUU